GACGAACCGUGCGAACGUUGUUCGGAUUCACUGGGCUUAAAGGGCGCGUAGGCGGAUGGUCAAGUCGGGGGUGAAAUCUUUCAGCUUAACUGGAAAAGUGCCUCCGAUACUGAUUGUCUCGAGGGAGGUAGGGGCAUGUGGAACUUCCGGUGGAGCGGUGAAAUGCGUAGAUAUCGGAAGGAACGCCGGUGGCGAAAGCGACGUGCUGGACCUCUUCUGACGCUGAGGCGCGAAAGCUAGGGGAGCAAACAGG
rnacentral:rRNA from 1 species